rnacentral:rRNA from 1 species
GAUGAGCGCUGGCGGCGUGCCUAAUACAUGCAAGUCGAGCGGUAAGGCUCUGCACAGGUUAUUUGACCAGAUAAGUUUCCAUAGGAAAUACUGUCUGCUCUGGGAGGUUCCACGGCUGGAACGUCCUUGUCGAAUGAUGUGUGUAGAGUACACGAGCGGCGGACGGCUGAGUAACGCGUAGGAAUGUACCCCAAAGUGAGGGAUAAGCACCAGAAAUGGUGUCUAAUACCGCAUGUGCUCCACGGAGUAAAGCUUUAUGCGCUUUGGGAACAGCCUGCGUCCGAUUAGCUUGUUGGUAGUGUAAUGGACUACCAAGGCGAUGAUCGGUAGCUGGUCUGAGAGGAUGAUCAGCCAGACUGGGACUGAGAACGGCCCAGACUCCUACGGGAGGCAGCAGUAGGGAAUUUUCCACAAUGGGCGAAAGCCUGAUGGAGCAACGCCGCGUGCAGGAUGAAGGCCUUAGGGUUGUAAACUGCUUUUAUUAGUGACGAUUAUGACGGUAACUAAUGAAUAAGGACCUGCUAACUACGUGC